rnacentral:rRNA from 1 species
UAAAGCUUCAAACUGGGAUUAGAUACCCCACUAUUCUUGGCUGUAAAAAAAUAUAAAUUUACCAGAGUACUACGAACCAAAAAGUUUAAAACUCAAAGGGCUUGGCGGUGUUUUAGACCUCUUAGGGGAACCUGUCUCAUAAUCGAUAAUCCACGUUAAACCUAACUUCUUUUUGUAUUCAGUAUGUAUACCAUCGUCGUCAGGUAACUUUUAAAAAAUCAGAAGUUAGCCAAUAAGCUGUAUAAGCUAAAACGUCAGAUCAAGGUGCAGUCUAUGAAGGAGUGAGGAUGGGUUACAAUUAUUAAAUCAUAAAUACGAAAUAGUUAAAUGAAUAAAUAACUAUGAAGGAGGACUUAAAAGUAAACUGGAUUAUAUAAACAUAUUGAAUUGGGCUCUGAAACGUGCACACACCGCCCGUCACCCUCCUGCAGUCAA